rnacentral:rRNA from 1 species
UACAGAGGUCCCAAGCGUUGUUCGGAUUCAUUGGGCGUAAAGGGUGCGUAGGUGGCGCUGUAAGUCGGGUGUGAAAUUUCGGAGCUUAACUCCGAAACUGCAUUCGAUACUGCGGUGCUUGAGGACUGGAGAGGAGACUGGAAUUCAUGGUGUAGCAGUGAAAUGCGCAGAUAUCAGGAGGAACACCGGUGGCGAAGGCGGGUCUCUGGGCAACAACUGACGCUGAGGAGCGAAAGCGUGGGGAGCGAACAGG